rnacentral:rRNA from 1 species
UACGAAGGGGGCUAGCGUUGCUCGGAAUCACUGGGCGUAAAGCGCACGUAGGCGGACUCUUAAGUCGGUGGUGAAAUCCUGGAGCUCAACUCCAGAACUGCCUUUGAUACUGGGAAGCUCGAGUCCGGAAGAGGUGAGUGGAACUCCGAGUGUAGAGGUGAAAUUCGUAGAUAUUCGGAAGAACACCAGUGGCGAAGGCGGCUCACUGGUCCGGUACUGACGCUGAGGUGCGAAAGCGUGGGGAGCAAACAGG